rnacentral:rRNA from 1 species
UACGGGGGGGGCAAGCGUUGUUCGGAAUUACUGGGCGUAAAGGGCGCGUAGGCGGUUUGCUAAGUUGGAUGUGAAAACUCUGGGCUUAACCCAGAGCCUGCAUCCAAAACUGGCAAACUUGAGUACUGGAGGGGAAAGCGGAAUUCCUGGUGUAGCGGUGAAAUGCGUAGAUAUCAGGAGGAACACCGGUGGCGAAGGCGGCUCACUGGCCCGAUACUGACGCUGAGGCACGAAAGCGUGGGGAGCAAACAGG